rnacentral:ncRNA from 1 species
AGUAAUGCAGGGUCUGAAGGAAGCCGGAGGCAAAGGUGCGGGUCGAUGAACAAGAACCUCAUAGUAGGCUUGCUGAAUGGAUGAGUCUGCAUAGUAGGAUAAAAUCCAAGACUGGGUUCAGGAAGUAAAUGGGGCGGCCACAUGCGCUGAAAGUCAUU